CAAUAGCGUAUAUUUAAGUUGUUGCAGUUAAAAAGCUCGUAGUUGGAUUUCUGGGAGGGUGCCAAUGUCCGUCGUCGUACGUGUUGCAGCGGCGCCCUUCCAUCCUUCUGUUAACGACUUUGGGCAUUCACUUGCCGGAGUCGGGCUCAGAUAUUUUACCUUGAGAAAAUUAGAGUGUUUCAGGCAGGCUAGGCCGGAAUACAUUAGCAUGGAAUAAUGGAAUAGGACUACGGUCUCUUUGUUGGUUUGAGGGACUGCAGUAAUGAUUAAUAGGGAUAAUUGGGGGCAUUUGUAUCAACACGUCAGAGGUGGAAUUCUUGGAUUGUGUUGCGACAAACUACUGCGAAAGCAUUUGCCAAGGAUGUUUUCAUUGAUCAAGAACGAAAGUAAGGGGAUCGAAGACGAUCAGAUACCGU
rnacentral:rRNA from 1 species